AUUGAAUGCUGGCGGCAUGCCUUACACAUGCAAGUCGAACGGCAGCACGGGAGCAAUCCUGGUGGCGAGUGGCGAACGGGUGAGUAAUAUAUCGGAACGUGCCCAGUCGUGGGGGAUAACGUAGCGAAAGCUACGCUAAUACCGCAUACGAUCUAUGGAUGAAAGCGGGGGAUCGCAAGACCUCGCGCGAUUGGAGCGGCCGAUAUCAGAUUAGGUAGUUGGUGGGGUAAAAGCCUACCAAGCCUUCGAUCUGUAGCUGGUCUGAGAGGACGACCAGCCACACUGGAACUGAGACACGGUCCAGACUCCUACGGGAGGCAGCAGUGGGGAAUUUUGGACAAUGGGCGCAAGCCUGAUCCAGCAAUGCCGCGUGCAGGAUGAAGGCCUUCGGUUGUAACUGCUUUGUACGGAACGAACGGUACGUCUCUAAUACAGGGGCGUAAGUG
rnacentral:rRNA from 1 species